rnacentral:rRNA from 1 species
UACCAGCUCUCCGAGUGGUAGGGAUGAUUAUUGGGCUUAAAGCGUCCGUAGCCGGCUUAGCAAGUUUCCUGUUAAACUCAGCGACUCAAUCGUUGGAUCGCGGGAAAUAUUACUAGGCUAGGAGGCGGGAGAGGUCGACGGUACUUCUGGGGUAGGGGUGAAAUCCUAUAAUCCCGGGAGGACCACCAGUGGCGAAGGCUGUCGACUAGAACGCGCUCGACGGUGAGGGACGAAAGCUGGGGGAGCGAACCGGAUUAGAUACCCGGGUAGUCCCAGCUGUAAACGAUGCGGGCUAGGUGUUGGGGUGGCUACGUGCCACUUCAGUGCCGCAGGGAAGCCAUUAAGCCCGCCGCCUGGGGAGUACGGCCGCAAGGCUGAAACUUAAAGGAAUUGGCGGGGGAGCACCACGAGGCGUGAAGCUUGCGGUUC